GCACAGACUAUUUCUCUUAAUAUCCCUUUUACAACAAUUUAAUUUGCAAAUAACCCACAUAGUCUGACAUAUAAAUAUCAUUAUGGCAUUGCCUCUCCAUUGUCAUUUUUAAGUUUAUGGUAAGCAUCAGUUUUAUGAAGUCUUGCACUGUCAUUUAUAAGUUCUCUUCUUUUCAUCACUAAAUGUUGUUUAUAAUACUUUAAUCCCCAAUUCAUCCGCUUUCUAAAUUGCAUGAAACGGAUCCCGUUUCACUUGCACUUUAGCUGACUUUUAUACUAAUCUAAUGCAAAAUUGAGUUGUUUAUUGAAGAACAUUCUGCUUGCCUGGAGCAGGUCAAGAAAAGGAAGAUUAAUAGUUGGAAAAUAUCAUGUGCGACCCUUACUCUGACCUAGAAGUUGCCCUUGGAGAUUUCCCGUUAAAGUAAUACAAUGCACGGUUUACUACUCAGUCCUUGAUAUAGCUGCAAGAUAAAAUUGCUGUUCUGUCAAUCAUGUUCUCUGCCUUAUUCUUGUAAUUACUUGGGUUAAGGGUAAUUUUGUCCCCUUGUUGUAUUUAUUGAAUAUUCUGUUAAAAGGUCAAAUUACAUUUUAAGCC